GAUGAACGCUGGCGGCGUGCCUAAUACAUGCAAGUCGAGCGAACAGACGAGGAGCUUGCUCCUCUGACGUUAGCGGCGGACGGGUGAGUAACACGUGGAUAACCUACCUAUAAGACUGGGAUAACUUCGGGAAACCGGAGCUAAUACCGGAUAAUAUAUUGAACCGCAUGGUUCAAUAGUGAAAGACGGUUUUGCUGUCACUUGUAGAUUGAUCCGCGCCGCAUUAGCUAGUUGGUAAGGUAACGGCUUACCAAGGCAACGAUGCGUAGCCGACCUGAGAGGGUGAUCGGACAAACUGGAACUGAGACACGGACCAGACUCCUACGGGAGGCAGCAGUAGGGAAUCUUCCGCAAUGGGCGAAAGCAUGACGGAGCAAAGCCGCGUGAGUGAUGAAGGUCUUCGGAUCGUAAAACUCUGUUAUUAGGGAAGAACAAAUGUGUAAGUAACUAUGCACGUAUUGACGGUACCUAAUCAGAAAGCAACGGCUAACUACGUG
rnacentral:rRNA from 1 species